UAAGGAAUAUUGCGCAAUGGGGGAAACCCUGACGCAGCAACGCCGCGUGGAGGAUGACACUUUUCGGAGCGUAAACUCCUUUUAUCAGGAAAGAAUAAUGACGGUACCUGAUGAAUAAGCACCGGCUAACUCCGUGCCAGCAGCCGCGGUAAUACGUGGGGUGCAAGCGUUACUCGGAAUCACUGGGCGUAAAGGACGCGUAGGCGGAUUAUCAAGUCUUUUGUGAAAUCUAGUGGCUUAACCACUAAACUGCUUAGGAAACUGAUAGGCUAGAGUAGGGGAGAGGUAGAUGGAAUUCUUGGUGUAGGGGUAAAAUCCGUAGAGAUCAAGAAGAAUACCCAUUGCGAAAGCGAUCUGCUGGAACCUAACUGACGCUGAGGCGUGAAAGCGUGGGUAGCAAACAGG
rnacentral:rRNA from 1 species